rnacentral:snRNA from 1 species
GUGCUCGCUUUGGCAGCACAUACACUAAAAAAAAAAAAAAAGAUACAGAGAAGAUUAGCAUGGCCCCUGUGCAAGGAUGACACACAAAUUUGUGAAGCGUUCCAUAUAAAA